rnacentral:rRNA from 1 species
UACGGGGGGGGCAAGCGUUGUUCGGAAUUACUGGGCGUAAAGGGCUCGUAGGCGGCCAACUAAGUCGGAUGUGAAAUCCCCAGGCUUAACCUGGGAAUGGCAUUUGGGACUGCAAGGCUUGAGUGCGGCAGAGGAGACUGGAAUUCCUGGUGUAGCAGUGAAAUGCGUAGAUAUCAGGAGGAACACCGAUGGCGAAGGCAGGUCUCUGGGCCGAUACUGACGCUGAGGAGCGAAAGCGUGGGGAGCGAACAGG